GGGGGUGUAAUUUGCAAGUCGCUCUGGAUAAGAGCGUCUGCUAAAUGACUUAAA
rfam:Salmo salar isolate Sally breed double haploid chromosome ssa12, whole genome shotgun sequence.